UGUGCUGCGUACUUUUAAAUUAUUCUUGUUUUAUGAAGAUUUGGGCCAGCCACACUCUUUUCACCUCAUAUCACGUGCACGUUCACGCGUACGUGUAUGUUGUCAUCUUGCAAGUUGGAUACACUGCUCAUACCUACCAGCUUGUGAACAUGACAAUAAAGGUUUAACUGAC
rnacentral:lncRNA from 1 species